AGGACGAACGCUGGCGGUGCGCCUAACGCAUGCAAGUCGAACGGUGAACCGGGCUUCGGCCCGGGGAUCAGUGGCGAACGGGUGCGUAACACGUGGGCAACCUGCCCCCGACCCUGGGAUAACCCCGGGAAACCGGAGCUAAUACCGGAUACUCUCCUCCGACCACAUGGUCAGAAGAGGAAAGGUCCGCCGGUCGGGGAUGGGCCCGCGGCCUAUCAGCUUGUUGGUGGGUAACGGCCUACCAAGGCGACGACGGGUAGCUGGUCUGAGAGGACGACCAGCCACACUGGGACUGAGACACGGCCCAGACUCCUACGGGAGCAGCAGUGGGGAAUCUGCGCAAGUGGGACGAAAGCCUGACGCAGCGACACGCGUGGGGAUGGAAGCCUUUCACGGUCGUAACCCUUCGGACGAGGGACGAAGCGAUCGUCGUCGACGUACCUGAC
rnacentral:rRNA from 1 species